rnacentral:rRNA from 1 species
AUUGAACGCUGGCGGCAGGCCUAACACAUGCAAGUCGAACGAGUGGCGGACGGGUGAGUAAUGUCGGGGUAACUGCCCGAUGGAGGGGGAUAACUACUGGAAACGGUAGCUAAUACCGCAUACCAUCGGAUGUGCCCAUAUGGGAUGAGCUAGUAGGUGGGGUAAUGGCACACCUAGGCGACGAUCCCUAGCUGGUCUGAGAGGAUGACCAGCCACACUGGAACUGAGACACGGUCCAGACUCCUACGGGAGGCAGAAGUGGGGAAUAUUGCACAAUGGGCGCAAGCCUGAUACAGCCAUGCCGCGUGUAUGAAGAAGGCCUUCGGGUUGUAAAGUACUUUCAGCGAGGAGGCGUUACUCGCAGAAGAAGCACCGGCUAACUCCGUGCCAGCAGCCGCGGUAAUAC